UACGUAGGGCGCGAGCGUUGUCCGGAAUUAUUGGGCGUAAAGAGCUCGUAGGCGGUCUGUCGCGUCGAUCGUGAAAACUUGGGGCUUAACCGUGAGCUUGCGGUCGAUACGGGCAUGACUGGAGUUCGGCAGGGGAGACUGGAAUUCCUGGUGUAGCGGUGAAAUGCGCAGAUAUCAGGAGGAACACCGGUGGCGAAGGCGGGUCUCUGGGCCGAUACUGACGCUGAGGAGCGAAAGCGUGGGGAGCGAACAGG
rnacentral:rRNA from 1 species